rnacentral:snRNA from 1 species
AUAUAUUUUAUAAAAAAAAAAUUUGUUCUACCAGUUUAAUAUGAAACGCCCGGGCAUAUUAAAUGGGUUUUUCUAACAGGGAGUCGGAAAUGGGGCUUGCUCCGCCCGCACGCACCGACCCGGCAUUGCAGUACCUCCGGGAACGGUGCAACACUU